CCGUAUAUAUAUGUUGAAUUACAUAUUAUUGUUGAGCAAGAUUAAAAACCUUUGGGUUUGGAACCAGGCAUGUAUGAACAUCCCUAUAUGGGAAGAUUUUUGCGUAAGGCGGAUAGAGUGAGCGAUGAAUUUCGUUCAAGUUAUGUAGUAUUGAUCAAUAUAGGGUACAACGGGGCUGAUCACCCUCCGUGCCCAUAAGUUAUG
rnacentral:lncRNA from 1 species